UGUCUUCAGGCGCAACGUCACUGUGGUUACUAUCUAUUCAUCUUUGGGAGAGGAAGCUCUUUGUCACUCGCUCAAUGAGAUAUGUUGAUUGUGUUCACGUCAACCCACAAGAAAUAGAGAGUUACAUCGUUUCUAAAUAAAUAGAAGGAGCACUCUCCAUUUUUUUAUCUCUCUUACAGUACGAAGCGGCAAAAAAAAAACACACCAUUAAUAAAUAAAUCAGGAUAUUGUGAUCAUCCUUAUAUAAUCAGUUUCCUCUGUUGUUGUAUAUUUUCGCAAGAGUUAUUAUGUUGAAAUUUAUUACAAGAAGUUUGUGUUCU